CAACUCCAUUGCUUCCUUCAUUGUCACGAUGCUGCCCGCAAGCGCCGCCGCCGCCAUGCCGGAGGGUGCCACGGCGUUGGAGAUCCCCACCGACCGCCCGUCCUUCUACAAAUCCCACCAGCCCUUCGGCGUCCCCGCGGCCGCCACCGCCGUCCGCCUGCCCACCCCGCCGCCGCCAUCGCACCACCAGCCCCAGCUCCCGCUCACCGUGUACAUGCCCGCUCCCACCCCGGAACAAACCUUCUUCGCGGACAGCCACGCGUACGCGUACAUCACCCCUGCCGACGCCCCCCUGCCGCGCGGACCCGUUCCCCUUCCUCCGCCGCGUCUUCCGCACCCUGCUGGCUGCUAAUAACCUCGACCUUCCGGCGACCUUCCACGAUCUCCUGCACCCGAUGCACGGCGCCGACGCGACGGUGCGCUUCCGCACGCCGGAGGACCGGGAGGCGGCCGUGCGCCGGCAGCCGUUCGAGCUCGACGGCGCCACGGUGGAGCUGGCCCGCGAGGGGGAGACCCCCGACAGCGCCCAGAGCCCCACUGACUACGUCGUCCACGUCGCGCUUCACGGCUACCCCGCCGAGCAGCGCACGCCGGAGGAGAUCACCGCCAACUGCCGCAGGUUACUUCGGGUUCCUCUGCGAGAUCGACCCGUCCCGCUUCGCGGCGCCCGACCUCGCCACCGUCCACGUCGUGCUCCGGCUCCAGCACCCUCGGGAGAUCCCCCGCCAGCUCCGGAUCGAGUACGAUGACGGCUCCACCAGCGUCGUCGGCGUCGAGAUCGUCCGGGUUUGGCACCGCUCCUUCUCCUACGACGCCGGUGGACAGUACGUGCGUCUCUUCCAGCAGCCACAGGCUGCGGCGGCUUCAUGCAUCAGUGCAAGUAGUACUGCGUUUACCUAGCUAGGUACUCUUAGUAAGAUCUAAAUUAGAGCCGCAUGGAGCCGGCUUCUUCUCAGUAAUGAAUGGUUAGUUCUCCGUCGCUACUACUGCUAAGCUCCUCUUCUAGUAGAUGCAAGUUUGUUGAAGCUUCUAGAUCGAUGUCGAUGGUGCGUGGUUUGGGGAUGGUGAUGCUUGUUUAGUGUAGCCUGUUUUGGGCGCCUGAUUCGUGGUGGAAGAGCUACCUAAGGUUGUAAGCAUAUCUUUUGUAAUGGAAUGGAUGUGUGUUAAUGAAAUCAAUUCCUGUUCGUACUUCCGUGUACAAUGGGACCUUUUGGUUUGUACUUUUGUAUGACAGGCUGGAUCAAAUGCGUCAUGCGUGCAUUUUUGUGUAGAUCAGAUAACGGUGGACAUAUCGGUAUAAUCGACGUCUUGCGAAGACGCUGUAUACCCUGGAAGAAUACCACAAGAGAGCGGAAAUAUAUGGGUCUUCAGAAUCACCCGCAAAAAAAAAAACCCCGCAAAAAAAAUAGCUUCAGAAUCAAGGCGCCUAAAAUGGUACAGGUUAGCAUGUCCCUGUAAUGGCCACGAUUAUAUGGACAAUUGACUGGAGAGCGGAUGAAGGAGCCGCUCAAGCAUACUUGAUCCACCGCGGCCGGCGGGAUCGGCGUUUGGUGCUGGCUCUACGCUGACCCGCCGCCAUGGGCUGUGCUGCCUCCAAGAACGACGUCUCGGUCACGCCGCCGGUCGACUCAAUCUGCGCCGUGGAGUCGUGGACAGGAGCCUGCCGCGCGCGCUGGAGUCGGAGUCAGCUACCGGGGUGGUCUCUGUCUCCGCCUCUUCCCUGUGCAGCUCGGCGAGGUUGGCCAUCCAGUCAUCCAGCGGAGGGCGUGAGCCGCGGCGGCGUGUCCGGUUCUUCUGCCGCAUCUGGAUUAGAUAGGACAGGGGCUGAAAAACCGGGAUUAGAAGAUUAUGAUUUGAUUCAGAAAAGUUCUACAAGUUCAGAGUUUAAAAUGGACUUUUCUCUAAUUUGAUCGAUGCGCUUUGAUGAGGACAUCCACCCCACAGAUACAACCGCGGCAUUACAAGGACCGAUUACUCGUGCGCGUGCGCGCCAACUCAAUUAUCAGGUACUUUCGUUUCUUUGUACCAUGUGCAAUCUAAAUGAGAAUGUGGUGCUGCCUAAAUCAGAUGCUCUUGUGUUGAUUAGGAAUGAAGGACCGAGCCGUGACACAAGGAAUGUGAGCGAGUCAAACUUCGAGGAUGACGGCAUGCGCGCGAAAGGAAACGGUGCAGCAAUUACCAUGAGAAUACGAGAAGUUGCAGCCACUUAAAGUCAUGGGAAGAAAAGAGAUGCUUGGGCUGCCACUUGCACUUCUAAUGGGCGCAAAGCCAUGUAACAGCCCAGGCCAUCUUAGAAUCUGAAACCCUAACUCUCUUCCACGUCCCACCCUCUAUAUAAGUGCAGCCAGCACCCCCUUUGGCUGGUUGGUUUUUGUUUAGAUAAGUUAGCCAUUGUUGCAACUUCAAGCUUCACCACUAGUGUCGGCUAGACCUACUGGAAGAACCGCUAUCGGAACCCCACCUUGUCACUCGUCUCCUUGAGACUGUUGUACUUCAUUUUUAAUUUUAAUUUCAGAUUGCCUUAUCUC